UACGUAGGGUGCGAGCGUUGUCCGGAAUUACUGGGCGUAAAGAGCUCGUAGGUGGUUUGUCGCGUUGUUCGUGAAAACCGGGGGCUUAACCCUGAGCUUGCGGUCGAUACGGGCAUGACUGGAGUUCGGCAGGGGAGACUGGAAUUCCUGGUGUAGCGGUGAAAUGCGCAGAUAUCAGGAGGAACACCGGUGGCGAAGGCGGGUCUCUGGGCCGAUACUGACGCUGAGACGCGAAAGCGUGGGGAGCAAACAGG
rnacentral:rRNA from 1 species